AACGAACGCUGGCGGCAGGCUUAACACAUGCAAGUCGAACGCUCGGAGCAAUCCGGGAGUGGCGGACGGGUGAGUAACGCGUGGGAACGUGCCCUGAGGUAGGGAAUAACUGCGGGAAACUGCAGCUAAUACCCUAUGAGCCCAUAGCAAUAUGGGGAAAGAUUUAUCGCCUUGGGAGCGGCCCGCGUCGGAUUAGCUAGUUGGUGGGUAACGGCCUACCAAGGCUUCGAUCCGUAGCNGGUCUGAGAGGACGAUCAGCCACACUGGGACUGAGACACGGCCCAGACUCCUACGGGAGGCAGCAGUGGGGAAUCUUGCGCAAUGGGCGAAAGCCUGACGCAGCCAUGCCGCGUGAACGAUGAAGGCCUUAGGGUUGUAAAGUUCUUUUGCCGUGACGAUGAUGACGGUAACGGGAGAGUAAGCUCCGGCUAAC
rnacentral:rRNA from 1 species